rnacentral:lncRNA from 1 species
AAGUGCAGGUGCCUCUGGUAUCACCAACUGAGGGGCCCGGGGCAUCUGAGCCAGGUUGUGGACUCCUGACAGCCCCUUGUAUUCCAGGCGCGCUGCUCUGCAGAGGAGCUGGACCGUGUCGGCAUCUCCUUUGGGCACCACAUAGCACGGCGGCUCCUGCAGAAAUGCUUUUCAGCCUGGGCAACCCAAACAAAGAGGCAUCUUGAGAUCCAACAACACCAUCAGUACAGCCAGCUGGCCCGGGUAUUCCUCAGCUGGCACAUAUGGGUUGUGGAAGAUAAGAGGCGGAAAGACGCGGCGUCCCGACAGUACCGUCUGCAUCACUAUCAGACUGCCCUCACACUGUGGAAGCAGAGGCUGAGCCAGAGGGUGGAGGCGGACAGGAGAUACAUACAUCGGCUUCACCAGAAGGCCACAGAUACCCUGCGGCACUGGCACAAGUGUUGGCAGAGGCAGAGCGCCUUACGGAGGCUGCAGCAGCAGUGGGCUCAGCACAGCGCCCAGGUGAGGAAGAGGAUGGUCCUAGAGAUGUGGCGCUGCCAGGCUGGGCAGCGGAGAGAUGCCGCUUUGUGCUGGGGGCAGCUCCUCCUACGCAGGUGCCUUGUGGCUUGGUGGCAGGCCACGCUGGCCAGAAGCAAGCAGCGUGAGGCGUGCUCCGAGUUUGAGGGCACCAGACAGCGGCACCUCUUAGCACUGUGCUUUGUGCAGUGGAGGACAGAGUUCCUGAGAGCCAAGCAGGGAGAGGGGGCCUGCCCACAGCAGAGCACGGUGCCAGCAAGAGCCUUUCGGCGCUGGAGGGGGGCUACAAGGGGACGCCAAGUGCUGCACUUGGACUCCG